rnacentral:rRNA from 1 species
UAGCCGUAAACGAUACUCGCUAGGUGUCGGCCACGGUGCGACCGUUGUCGGUGCCGUAGGGAAGCCGUGAAGCGAGCCACCUGGGAAGUACGGCCGCAAGGCUGAAACUUAAAGGAAUUUGGCGGGGGAGCACAACAACGGGUGGAGCUUGCGGUUUAAUUGGAUUCAACGCCGGAAAUCUUACCGGGACCGACAGCAACAUGAAGGCCAAGCUGAAGACUUUGCCGGAUUAGCUGAGAGGAGGUGCAUGGCGUAGUCGUGU